rnacentral:rRNA from 1 species
UACCAGCACCCCGAGUGGUCGGGGCGUUUAUUGGGCCUAAAGCAUCCGUAGCCGGUUCUGCAAGUCUUCCGUUAAAUCCACCUGCUUAACAGAUGGGCCGCGGAAGAUACUAUAGAGCUAGGAGGCGGGAGAGGCAAGCGGUACUCGAUGGGUAGGGGUAAAAUCCGUUGAUCCAUUGAAGACCACCAGUGGCGAAGGCGGCUUGCCAGAACGCGCUCGACGGUGAGGGAUGAAAGCUGGGGGAGCAAACCGG